GUGCUCAUUUUGACAGCACAUAGACUAAAAUUAGAAUGAUACAGAAAUGGCCCCUGUGCAAGGAUAAAAUACAAAUUUAUGAAGCAUUACAUAUUUUU
rnacentral:snRNA from 1 species